rnacentral:snRNA from 1 species
AGCUUUGCACAGUGGCCAUAUCGUAGCCAAUGAGGUUUAUCCGAGGUACGAUUAUUGCUAAAAAAAAAAAAAUUGUUUAAUGUAUUUUGUCUGUUCUGUUUUUAUUUGUUUUAAUUGUUACAGGUAGAAAGGUAAAUCUAGACUCUGUAACUCCCAUCUGUGA